rnacentral:rRNA from 1 species
CUACCAAGACAGUGACGGUUGACGGGGAAUCAGGGUUUGAUACCGGAGAGGGAGCCUGAGAGACAGCUCCCACGUCCAUGGACGGCAGCAGGCGCGAAAAUUGCCCACUCUUUGCAGGAGGCAGUUAUGAGACGUAGUUGUGAUUAUUCAGUAAAGAGGAAUAGGAGAAUUGGAGGGCAAGUUUGGUGCCAGCCGCCGCGGUAAUACCGACUCCAAGAGUGUGUAUGAGAGAUGCUGCAGUUAAAAAGUCCGUAGUCAUGGAGGCACAAACAGGGACGGAGUCUCGGUAGUGAGUGGUGGAGGAACCGAUGGGGAACAUAGUAUACCAGGGCGAGAGAUGAAAUGCCAAGACCCCUGGUGGACUCGGCGAGGCGAAAGCGAUGUUCUAGUAGGUGUUCGGUGAUCAAGGACGAAGGCUGGAGUAUCGAAAGUGAUUAGAUACCGCAGUAGUUCCAGCAGUAAAAGAUGCC